rnacentral:rRNA from 1 species
UACAGAGGUCCCGAGCGUUGUUCGGAUUUAUUGGGCGUAAAGGGUGCGUAGGUGGCAAGUAAGUUGGAUGUGAAAUCCUGGGGCUCAACCUCAGAAUUGCAUUCAAUACUGCUUAGCUAGAGAGCUGUAGAGGAGACUGGAAUUUACGGUGUAGCAGUGAAAUGCGUAGAUAUCGUAAGGAACGCCAGUGGCGAAAGCGAGUCUCUGGGCAGCAUCUGACACUGAGGCACGAAGGCCAGGGGAGGCAAACGGG